rnacentral:rRNA from 1 species
UAGGUGAACCAGCGGAGGGAUCAUUA